AUUGAAGCAAAAUAUAUCAGUGGCGCCGCCUAGCGUUUUUCCCCGUUCACUGACAAUGCCACAACAAUGACAGUUUGUGUCAAAUUGUUCACCGAUAUUUUCCCAGCAUAAAAAAGUAUUAGCCUUAACAUUCCCGAACAGAGAGACAGUCCAGAGCAGCGCUUUGCUGUCGACAGAAUUCUCGUUUCGCCUGUUAUCGAAACCUCCGUAAAAAGGCUCAAUUCUGUGGUUCAGUGGGUUCAGUGGAUACUCGAAUUGACGUGGAUAAUUGCUUUGGCAUCACUCCAGAAGGAAUUUUCUACCUAUCGAUCACAAAAGGCACUCGCCACAGACUCACCAUGAAUCAGAAAAUGAAUAGAUCCCAAACGUUUAUCGACGUUUUAUUGAAAUGCCGUUUUUUUUUCUGUAGGUAUUUCCGAAUACACACGCUAAGAUGUAUAAUAACAUCAAGUCAUGCCAUGAUUUCGGCACAUAAUCAAAUUAAUGCAUCUCAAGCGAUCGCCGGAUUCAACACAGAAUUCCGGUGUGAAUUCAACAACCUUUCGCUUGCUUUCUCUCUCUCUCUUCCUCUCAGUGUCAGAUCGGUGGGUCGUAUUGUACGAACAAUGACCAAAGGUAAAUGCGCACAAGUACAUAAUUGCCAAUAAUUUGGUUGUCCGUAUGAACGCCCUGCCUGCGAUCAGCCACUUCAAUUGUUUGCUAUUGAUUGUGGGUCGGUAUUGCAAAAUCAACCGACUACGACUAAAAAAAGUUUUUUCAGAUUGAAAAAAAGGGGAAAAAACAUGUGUGCUGUUGGCUAAUGUCAUUUUCAUCAUUAAUUGUUUUUUGUUACUAUGCUCACACUCGACACUCUUUCCAUUUGUUAUUUAGCCCAAUCCAGUCAAGCCGAAAUGCACACACAAUAGUAUGCACAAGCGGGCGAUGCCCAUAAAAAACACGGAGAGUGACUUUCGAUUUCUUCUUUUUGUCAGGCAGUCAGUGCGGUGUUGAUCGUCAGGAAUUCCUCAUCUAUUUCGUUGUUGUUGGUGUAAUUUUUUGGCACAAUUAACCUGCACUUCAUUGGAUCGAACCCAUAUAUGAACCAUUGCGACAAACA